rnacentral:rRNA from 1 species
GAUGAACGCUGGCGGCGUGCCUAACACAUGCAAGUCGAACGGAAAGGCGCAAGCUUUCUUGGGUACUCGAGUGGCGAACGGGUGAGUAACACGUGGGUGAUCUGCCCCGCACUUCGGGAUAAGCCUGGGAAACAGCGGCUAAUACCGCAUAGGACUAUGGUAUGGAUACCAUUGUGGAAAGUUUUUCCGGUGUGGGAUGAGGUCGGGGCGUAUCAGCUUGGUGGUGGGGUAGUGGCCUACCAAGGCGUAGACGGGGAGCCGGCCCGCGAGGGUGUAGGGACGGUUCAGACUCGUGAGGGGGGCCGCAGUGGGGAAGGUGGCAGAAGGGGGGAAUGUCGGACGAAGGGAGGCAGCGUGAUGGAGGGAGGCCUCGUGGGGGUAGACGGCUUUCGGGUUGGAAGAUCCUUUCGGUAGGGAAGAAGCGUUUUUGUGACGGUACCUGGAGAAGAAGCACCGGCUAACUACGUG